CUAACUAGGAUUCCCUUAGUAACGGCGAGUGAACCGGGAUGAGCUCAAAUUUGAAAUCUGGCGUCUUUCAGGCGUCCGAGUUGUAAUCUAUAGAGGCGUUUUCCGCGCCGGACCGCGUCCAAGUCUCUUGGAAUAGAGUAUCAAAGAGGGUGACAAUCCCGUACUUGACGCGACAACCGGUGCUCUGUGAUACGUUCUCAAUGAGUCGAGUUGUUUGGGAAUGCAGCUCUAAAUGGGUGGUAAAUUCCAUCUAAGGCUAAAUAUUGGCGAGAGACCGAUAGCGAACAAGUACCGUGAGGGAAAGAUGAAAAGCACUUUGGAAAGAGAGUUAAACAGCACGUGAAAUUGUUAAAAGGGAAACGAUUGAAGUCAGUCGUGUGGGAAGUAUUCAGCCGUCUCUGGCGGUGUAUUUGCUUCUCACGGGUCAACAUCAGUUUGAUCCGGUAGAAAAAGGCGGGAAGAAGGUGGCACCCUCGGGUGUGUUAUAGCUUCCUGUCAUAUGUGCCGGACCAGACUGAGGAACGCAGCUUGCAGCAAUGCCGGGGUUCGCCCACGUACAAGCUUAGGAUGUUGACAUAAUGGCUUUA
rnacentral:rRNA from 1 species